AGACGUACCACUGCCUACAGCUAUGAUUACACAUGCAAGCCUCCACAGCCCAGUGCAAACACCCACUACCUAUUUUACUAGUCCAGGAGCCGGUAUCAGGCCCGCACUAGCCAGCCCACAACACCUAGCCAUUGCCACACCCCCACGGACCCCAGCAGUGAUUAACAUUAAGCAAUGAGCAAACCACACUGCUCGACUAAGCAAUAAGCACAUACUCAGAGCCGGUAAACUCCGUGCCAGCCACCGCGGUUAUACGGAGGGCCCACGGCAAACUAUACCCGGCGUAAAGCGUGUUUAGAGAAAAAUUUUCUAUUGGCCAAACUACUCCUGUAUAGUGAUAAAAUACCUCAACCCAUGGAAACCCACCACAAAACCACAAGAAAAACACUUGAUACACGAAAGCGAAGACACAAACUAGGAUUAGAUACCCUACUAUGCUUAAGCCUUUAACCAAGACAAAAUAAACCCUCAGUCCGCCAGAACACUACGAGCAAAAGCUUAAAACUCAAGAGACUUGACGGUGUUGCAAACCGGCCUAGAGGAGCCUGUCCAAUAAUCGAUAACCCACGCUCCACCUCACCCCCCCUAGCCUGCAGCCUAUAUACCGCCGUCGAAAGCCCACCUUUUGAAAGCCUCCACCGUGAGCAAGAUAGUCAGACCACUAACACGUCAGGUCAAGGUGUAGCUAAUGGGGCGGACACAAGAUGGGCUACAUUUUCUACCACAGGACCUACCAUAUACCGCAUGAAACACGGACAAAAGCUGGAUUUAGCAGUAAGCACAACUAGAUAAGUCGUACUGAAACCAGCGCUGCAACACGU
rnacentral:ncRNA from 1 species